rnacentral:rRNA from 1 species
AAGUUUCAACAAUGGAUCUCUUGGUUUUCGCAUCGAUAAAGAACGCAGCUAAUUGCGAUACGUAAUAUGACAUUGGAUUUUUGAACGCACAUUGCACCUUAAGUUAUUUCUCAAGGCAUGCAUGGAUGGUCGGUA